rnacentral:rRNA from 1 species
UACGGGGGGGGCAAGCGUUGUUCGGAAUUACUGGGCGUAAAGGGCUCGUAGGUGGCCAACUAAGUCAGACGUGAAAUCCCUCGGCUUAACCGGGGAACUGCGUCCGAUACUGGAAGGCUUGAAUCCGGGAGAGGGAUGCGGAAUUCCAGGUGUAGCGGUGAAAUUCGUAGAUAUCGAGAGGAACACCGGUGGCGAAGGCGGCCAACUGGACAGAUACUGACGCUCAAGCACGAAAGCGUGGGGAGCAAACAGG